CUCAACUCGGGUGAAGGGGUGUUUUUCUUUUUCCUCAAUAACGCGAAUCCUCUUCUUCUUGUUCCCUGGCACAGAUGCCAAUCUCCCCCAGGCUUAGUGGUUGUAAUAUGGUGCUUGACUCUGCAGAAUUUUCUAUAAAGAGAAAUAUCAGCAAAUACACAUUGACCUGGAGGAGAGAGAGGUUGUGGAAGGCUCCGGGCACUGUCAGGGGUAACAUUGGAGCAGAUAUUGUAGUAGUGUCUAGUGUCUCCUUGUUCAAAGGUGAACACAUAGUCUCCAGGAGGGGGUAGGGUGCUUCCAG